CCUACGGGAGGCAGCAGUAGGGAAUAUUGCUCAAUGGGGGAAACCCUGAAGCAGCAACGCCGCGUGGAGGAUGAAGGUUUUCGGAUUGUAAACUCCUUUUGUUAGAGAAGAUAAUGACGGUAUCUAACGAAUAAGCACCGGCUAACUCCGUGCCAGCAGCCGCGGUAAUACGGAGGGUGCAAGCGUUACUCGGAAUCACUGGGCGUAAAGAGCGCGUAGGCGGGAUAGCAAGUCAGAUGGGAAAUCCUAGGGCUUAACCAUAGAACUGCAUUUGAAACUGUUAUUCUAGAGUAUGGGAGAGGUAGGUGGAAUUCUUGGUGUAGGGGUAAAAUCCGUAGAGAUCAAGAGGAAUACUCAUUGCGAAGGCGACCUGCUAGAACAUAACUGACGCUGAUGCGCGAAAGCGUGGGGAGCAAACAGGAUUAGAUACCCCAGUAGUC
rnacentral:rRNA from 1 species